UACUUGUAAAGCCCCCAUUACCAAACCCACAACAGACAUACAACACAGAUUGUAUUUGGAAUGUCUUUGCAACUGUGGUUUAGUCCAUUGCACUUGACCAUUGAAACAUGACCAGCGGGAGGAACCGCUGUUUAGUGACAGACGCAUUGCGCUCUGUCACAGAUGUGCAUGCCAGGCGGUGCUGUGAAAGACCUCCGCUAUGUCUGCACGCAUGCGCAACGUCUUCCGUCUUGUCUGAUCUGCACAUCUGCGCCGCGAAAACUUUGACUACUCUGGCUAUGUUACAUGGAGUCAACAGGAAAUCUUUUGGUGGAGAGGGUGGAGACCUUGACUGGCUAUCGUAGCCUGCAGGGAAUCGGCCGUCAGACUUUCUGUCGCAUGUCCCAGACCCGGUGAAAUGUAACUGAAUUGUCUUGGCCAGCCCUAAGGGUCCAAUCUGCGUCCCAUCAUUGCUGAGGAGUGUGCUCCCAUCACCCAAUCAAGCAUCCAGCCAGAGCAGGUCAUGAUAUAUUUUUUACCAUAUUAACAUGCCAUUGUUGUGUGUUAUGCCUGAUGUAAAGACUCUCGUCUCUGCGAGCCUACCACACAGAUUUAAUACUUGUCAUUUUUAGGGCAUACCUAACAACCUGUGUUUUCUUUUUCUCCCCCCCCAAUCUGUCCCUCUGAGUUACAUGUUGAUCCUGGGAUUGAGAUGCUGGCCUCUUCUGCCCCUCGGACCUGCUUGAUCCAUCCUGGUGCCCUGUGUCUGGUCGGAGUUUUAUCACAUCGCUCCUGUGAAGGACGGCCCCAUGAGGAGAGUUGAGGGUUAUACCUGUUAAAACUGUUAAUAUUAUAGUCAGGCUGUCUGUUGUUGCCCAAAUGAGGAUGGGUUCCCUUUUGAGUCUGGUUCCUCUCGAGGUUUCUUCCUCAUGUCGUCUGAGGGAGUUUUUCCUUGCCACCGUCGCCACAGGCUUGCUCAUUGGGGAUAGAUUAGGGAUAAAAUUAGCUCAUGUUUUAAGUCGUUCAAAUUCUGUAAAGCUGCUUUGCGACAAUGUUUAUUGUUAAAAGCGCUAUACAAAUAAACUUGACUCUUCCCUUUUCAA